GUCAGAGUAAAAGGGAAACCUUUUUAUAAAGGGGUAACACGUUGGUAUAGAACCAACAUUCUUAAAAUGGGAGAUGCAGUCUAUGACGAACUGAGCCUUAUCACGUGUUCUGGAAGUAUCACGAGGGAGGACAGUUGGUUCUACUCCUCAGCGGCAGCAUACCAUACUGGGAGAGGGGAUAAUCUGUCCCCCUCCCCAGUGGAAGCC